UUGAAACUCUUGUCUGUUGAAUCCUGUGGACUUCCUAUCCCCUGUGGACUUCCUAUACACUCCCAGCUCCAAAACAACCAAAUGCCCAACCUCUAACAUUAUUACCCUCCUAGUCAUACUUCUAGUGUCAUUGGCCUUCAUUUUCCCUUUUGACAAAGUCCUUCCUCCACCCAUGCCUUCCUGUCAUCGAUGACUGCCUUGUCUCCUUGAGUAGAAAGGUACUUGAGCAGAGAAAGAAGGCGGAGGAAGAGGAAGCGAGAUGGAGUGAGAGACAGAAGCAGAGAGAGAAGAAGCUUGCGAAGGUGGUUUCGAAGCGCGCCCAGGCCAACGACACCCAUGUGCCCCUCUCUCAGACCAACCAGUCCAAGCUCAAGCAGUUCAGGUACCCAUAGAAACCCAUAACAUUACAAUUAUACUUGUAGCAACCCAGAAACUCACCCUGCCUGAGACCAGUACGAACACCUACUCCACAGCCCGCCGCACAUUUUCAUAUGGAAGUUAAAGCAGGACUUUCAGCGCAGGAAGGAGUACAAGGAGGAGAUGAGGGAGAUCCAGGAGAGAGUGAAGGGGAGGCCUCUGCUGUUGGAGCAGGUCGCACAGAUGAAUGCCAAACACGCUGCAGAGAAGCACUACACAGACACCCUGCGAGGCUGUGGAGUGAGUGAGGACUUUGUCAGUGGCAAGGUGCUCAAGUCCCAGUGGCCAGGUGGCCAAGACUCUGCAUCCAGGACCUCCUUCUCCAGUGACUCCAAACAAAGUGAAAAGGAUGAGACAGAUACACCAGCUAUUUACAACACGGUCUUCCAGGAUGACUACCCAGACAAUUAUGAAGACAGCUUUGCUGACCAAGAACAGGAAGGAGAGCAGGAGGCUGAGAAAGAUGAAUUAAAAUCCAAAAAAGAGGAAGAUGAGGAUGAAGGCCAUGACGAAGCAGGUCGGGAGAGGGAGGACAUUGGGCGUUAUUCAGAUGAUUGCGAUUACUCAGAUGACCAUUACUCAGAUGAUGAUGACCAUUACUCAGAUGCCAGUGAGCAUUACUUGCCCCUGGACGAUGAAAAGAAUGAAGGGAGUCACAUCAUCAAAAGGCCAAAGAGUACAGAGAGCAGCCCAAGCUAUAGAAGCGGCCAGCACAGCCGAAACAGUCAGAAGUCAGAGAGUGAUAGGGAAAACACAGCAAUUGCAGACAAGAAAAAUGAUGAGGAUGACUGAAAAGUCAAAGGAGUGCAUUUUCUCACACGUAGCUGGACUACAUUGUGCGCAAACGUCUACGACACUGACACACAGUGGUAGAGAUGCUUCUAUUAUACAAUAGGCUAAAUGUAUGGUAGGAUGCGUGUGUGUGUAUGUAUGUAUGUAUAAUUUCCUGUUUAUUAAAAGAAAGUGGCAAAUACAAUUUAGUGCGAUACAUAGACCAGAGUCAAUUGUAGUAGGUUAUGGUUAUACAAAUUUUCACAUUGAACAUGUUAGGGUACUCUUUGUCUUGUGAUAUCCUACUAUGCAGGAAAUACAACACUAUGACCACUUAUUUUUGGAUGUUUGUGAUACAUUUUCUUUAGACAUUUGUCAAUGUUUUGUGACUUAAUAUGUGUAGCCUAACAUUUGCAAUAUAUUUCAGGAUCAUACUUUCAUUGCAUAUAUACUUAACAUUUGGGAACAUAAAGGUGUUAUGUAUUUCAUGUACAUUAUGGGAUAUUUAUAUUUCUGUACUUGUCAUAAGACAAUUUGGCAAUAAAUCAUCAUCGACGCACGUUUUAUUGGUCACAUACACAUGUUUAGCAGAUGUUAUUGCAGGUGUAGCGAAAUGCUUGUGUUUCUAGCUCCAACAGUGCAUUAAUAUCUAACAGUUCACAGCAAUACACACAACGAUGUAAAUAAAAUAAAAAACUAUGAGAUGAUGAGACAGCCUAUAGGGAGGAGGUCAGAGUCCUAGCCGUGUGGUGCCAGGAUGACAACCUCUCCCUCAACGUGAUCAAGACAAAAGAGAUGAUUGUGGACUACAGGAAAAGGAGGACCGAUCACGCCCCCAUUCUCAUCAACGGGGC
rnacentral:lncRNA from 1 species